rnacentral:sRNA from 1 species
UUUUUUGUUAUUACAAGAACUUUUGCUUUGGUCUGGACUAGAAAUAGUUUGGGCCAGAGGUUUACUGAACUAAACUUCAAUAUUUAUAUUGAAUUGUUAUUUAUUUAAUUGUCAAUUUGUUGAUUAAAUUCAAAAAAUCUUCAAAACUUUCAACAACGGAUCUCUUGGUUCUCGCAUCGAUGAAGAACGCAGCGAAAUGCGAUAAGUAAUAUGAAUUGCAGAUUUUCGUGAAUCAUCGAAUCUUUGAACGCACAUUGCGCCCUCUGGUAUUCCAGAGGGCAUGCCUGUUUGAGCGUCAUUUCUCUCUCAAACCUUCGGGUUUGGUAUUGAGUGAUACUCUUAGUUGAACUAGGCGUUUGCUUGAAAUGUAUUGGCAUGAGUGGUACUGGAUAGUGCUAUAUGACUUUCAAUGUAUUAGGUUUAUCCAACUCGUUGAAUAGUUUAAUGGUAUAUUUCUCGGUAUUCUAGGCUCGGCCUUACAAUAUAA